rnacentral:lncRNA from 1 species
GCACGUCACACACUUUCCUGCAAAUCUCUCAGACUGAAAGAUUUCACAAGGUUUGAAGUAGUGCGAGUAGUGAGUAACAACCAGCUGGUACACACCACCCAGCGACCCGCGACCACGGUGGUGCGUAAACGGGCGGCUGGGAGUUGAUAGGCUGUAAAAAGUUCUAUUUUCCUGCUGUACAAAGUAGCACGAAACUUCUUGCCAGCGAAGGAGAAGCCUUACUGCGUAGGAGCAGACUAGAGGUUUAAUCCAAGAAAGGGAUCCAAGACAAGGAAAUAAAUGGAGUACCGUUGUUUUACAGCCCAGAAAGAAGAUAGGGAUCAAGAGUCCAACCUUGUUGGUGAAAAACGUAAGCCAAGGGAGAGGACAGGCGAGGAGGAGAGGCCGCCGCAGCGAUACUCUGGGCAGGUUGUUAAGUGCAUAAAAUAAACAAACGCUUUCAGUCUCGCCUCUGUUGGUGCACUUUGAGGUGUAGCAGGUAGGAGCAGGACGUGGCUGGUGAUUGCGUGCCGCUGGCAGCGGGUCCACAUGACUCAGAUGUGUGCACAAGGGCAGUCCCUUCCCAGUGCCACCCGAAGACACCCGUGUGGGCGUAGUCACAGCAGGAAAACUGCCCUGUCACUGUGAAAUCCCGGCGUAGGCUUGGGUGCCAAGGGGGGGCUGGUUUGCGUGGCACCCGGUGUAACGACGUUGUCUGCCAGUCCCAGCAUACAAUGGGUCUAAAUUACAUGCUUCGCUGGAACUGGAUUUUCUAUUUCUGUGACAACAUUGCC